AUGAUUGUCGAAGACGAGCGAGACACAUAUGCUGAUAAUUUUGAUUACGACCACAUUAAUAAUAAUUUAUCCACAAUUGAAAUAUCUACUGGUCCUGAUCCCAAUUUAACAAUAUUGUUUAAAAAGAUAUCACAUGUUCAUCAAAGGAAAAAUCAUCGCCAACUUCAAGCAGACUUGGUGGAGCAUAUUUGGGAGAGAUUUGGUCAUGAGAAUAACGAAAGUUAA